rnacentral:lncRNA from 1 species
CCUAUGACACAACUAAUUCGAAACAUAUAACAAUAUUAAUUUUCCAAUGAAGUGGUAAUUUAAUAAUCCAAAAGAAAGAAGCUUAGCACAGACGUGUAUUUCGAAUAACACUUCAACAAAAUUCACACCCCUGCUCCGUACAACUCAAGCCAUCGUAUGUGAAUCACAAUUCCAGAUGCAUACCCUUUAUAUAAAACUAAAGUGAUAGGUGAGAACAACUACUUCAUGAAGGGAUUAAUUAAGCCUCUUUAGCUUUCCGUGAAAACGAGUCCCAGCUAAUAUAUCUUCCAUUAACAGUGAUUUCAAACAAAAAUUUUAUCAAAUAUGAGUGUCUAAUAAAUUGCUUGAAUUAGCUCACAUGUAACUAUUGACUCGACAGAGAUCACCAUGGACCUAACCAAAACAUCAAAAGUGAUUAUUUUAUUUUUUAUGAACUAUUCAAAAAGAAAAAAAGAAAUCAUAAACUAAGGAGGAGAGUAGCGAGAUGGACCUGGAAAUGUUUCACAAUUAAUUUGCUGAAAGUGAUUACAAGACCAUCCAGCAACAGACUCGAACACAAGACCGAAAUGGCAAUAGGAGAACUCUGUCGUGAACCUCGAACUCGGAUGACAACUCCAACUGAUUUUACACUUCAGAUGCUUGGGACGUUUUGAAGCUCACAAACAACAGGAACGCAACUAGGACCUCGGAAGACGACGGGCUGGUCGAGCUGCAUCGGAGAAAACUCAAAUCGCGCAGAUGAACCCGAACUCUAUAUCGACCCGGAGAAACCGAAACUGAAAGAGCUGACUGGAAUUGAAACUUGGUGUCUUUUGGGGUCUACAGCUGAGCUGAUUUUAAAGCUGGUUUCAUGAGUUUUUACAUGGUAUUUUGGAGGUGCUCUAAUGGAAGUUUAGAGGGGGUGGUCGGCUGGUUUGUGUCCGUUUUUUGGUUCUUGUAUGUGUGUGUGUGUUUCUCGCUGGGAUGAGGGUCCUCGUCUGUGUGUUCCGGCGAGUCGCCACUGGCGGGGAAACGGGGAGUAGAGGGUUGUUUUGGGGUGGGGUUUUGCUGAUCGAGGAAGAAGAGAACGUUAGGGGGUGGGGGGGUCGUGUUCUCUCCGAAUGUUUGAGGUGGUGUGGGUCUGGUUCGGUGAUUUGGGUUGGGGGGAAGAUGAUGAUCUUCAAGGGUGGGGGUCAUUCUGGUUCACUGGGAAAUUGAAGAAAUAUAGGGAGGGAUUGAAGCAGAUGACGCACGAGGGGGGGGGGGG